rnacentral:rRNA from 1 species
GUCCCGUAACGAGCGCAACCCUUGUCCUUAGUUACCAGCACGUUAUGGUGGGCACUCUAAGGAGACUGCCGGUGACAAACCGGAGGAAGGUGGGGAUGACGUCAAGUCAUCAUGGCCCUUACGGCCUGGGCUACACACGUGCUACAAUGGUCGGUACAAAGGGUUGCCAAGCCGCGAGGUGGAGCUAAUCCCAUAAAACCGAUCGUAGUCCGGAUCGCAGUCUGCAACUCGACUGCGUGAAGUCGGAAUCGCUAGUAAUCGUGAAUCAGAAUGUCACGGUGAAUACGUUCCCGGGCCUU